rnacentral:hammerhead_ribozyme from 1 species
GCCUUGUUGACGAGUGCCAAACAGCACGAAACUUAGGUCCAGGGU